CAUGUUUUUGAUACCACGUUGAUAAGUUGACACCUUACACUGACAUGCAAGGAGCAGGAAUAUAUUUCAUGAUGCCUGCCAAAGUAAUGCCACAUGUCAGGGACUCGUCAAUGGAGGGAUGUCCUCAGAAGACGUGGAUAUGAGAGCAAGAAUCUUUUCAUGAGAGACGGCACCAAAGGUCAUUAUCGCAGCUGGAUUGCCAUGUAUCAGCAGCAAACAAGAGAAAAUCUGCAGAUGCUGGAAAUCCAAGCAACACGCACAAAAUGCUGGAGGAACCUAGCAGGCCAGGCAGCAUCUAUGGAAAAGAGUACGGUCGAUGUUUCGGGCCAAAGCCCUUUGGCAGGACAGCACUGAAUCGGACAUGGAGCUGUUAUUGAUGAACUUUGAGCAUGAACAUAGCAAGUCUCAGAAUGCAAGUCAUGGAACAAGAUUGCAAAUGGAAAAUGGUCGAACCUGCCAUCUGAUGUCACCCAGCUUCCUAAGUAGCAAAAGUUCUGUACUUGUUUCAUGUCUUCCCUGUUUAUUCUCAGCCUGCAGAUAGGAUUCUCCUUCUUUUUGGAUAUCACCAUACAUUCUGUCUUUUUGCAAUUGAUAGAUAGACCCAUUUUUGCACUUUCUUCAACAAUUAUAUCAAUUAAGUUUUGUAGUUCUUCCUCUGUACUUGCAAUUAACACAGUGUCAUCUGCAUAUCUGAAAUUUUGAU